GCCAGUAAAUCAGUCUUGUUCCAGCAUUAAGCCUUGGCUCAUGUUUGGGGGAAGGGAUACCUACACUCUGGGGAUUGCUAUAAUCACUUACUCCCCAGAGGAAGCUCUUGCAAUAGCUUGAUUUGUUCCUGUUCCUGCUCUCUGGGGAAAGAGAGGUUCACCCACUGGAAGCUGGAUCCUGGCCUUGGGUCCAGGGUGGGUGGAAACAUCAGAGACC